AUGCAGCAACGCCGCGUGAGUGAUGACGGUCUUCGGAUUGUAAAGCUCUGUCUUCAGGGACGAUAAUGACGGUACCUGAGGAGGAAGCCACGGCUAACUACGUGCCAGCAGCCGCGGUAAUACGUAGGUGGCAAGCGUUGCCCGGAUUUACUGGGCGUAAAGGGAGCGUAGGUGGAUAUUUAAGUGGGAUGUGAAAUACUCGGGCUUAACCUGAGUGCUGCAUUCCAAACUGGAUAUCUAGAGUGCAGGAGAGGAAAGUAGAAUUCCUAGUGUAGCGGUGAAAUGCGUAGAGAUUAGGAAGAAUACCAGUGGCGAAGGCGACUUUCUGGACUGUAACUGACACUGAGGCUCGAAAGCGUGGGGAGCAAACAGGAUUAGAUACCCUGGUAGUCCACGCCGUAAACGAGGUGAAUACUAGGUGUAGGGGUUGUCAUGACCUCUGUGCCGCCGCUAACGCAUUAAGUAUUCCGCCUGGGGAGUACGGUCGCAAGAUUA
rnacentral:rRNA from 1 species